UACAGAGGUCCCAAGCGUUGUUCGGAUUCAUUGGGCGUAAAGGGUGCGUAGGCGGCGCGGUAAGUCGGGUGUGAAAUCCUGGAGCUCAACUCCAGAACUGCCUUUGAUACUGAAAGUCUUGAGUAUGGGAGAGGUGAGUGGAACUGCGAGUGUAGAGGUGAAAUUCGUAGAUAUUCGCAAGAACACCAGUGGCGAAGGCGGCUCACUGGCCCAUAACUGACGCUGAGGCGCGAAAGCUAGGGGAGCAAACAGG
rnacentral:rRNA from 1 species